UCUACGGCCAUACCACCCUGAACGCGCCCGAUCUCGUCUGAUCUCGGAAGCUAAGGAGGGUCGGGCCUGGUUAGUACUUGGAUGGGAGAAAACAUUUGAAUACAUGGAACUGAUACAU
rnacentral:rRNA from 1 species